AAACCACGUAGCUCAGUGAUAGACCAUCUGCUUUGCAUGCAGAAGGUCCCAGGUAUGAUCUCUGGUGUCUUCA